UGCCCAACACUUUUUUAAGUAGUGGCAAUAGAAUUCCCAACCACGACAGUAAGCUCUCCAUUGAGCACUCGUGGUUGGGUCAAUAGCAGGAAUGUUAUUGGGCAAUCGCAAGAUUGCC
rnacentral:sRNA from 1 species